AAGUCGUAACAAGGUUUCCGUAGGUGAACCUGCGGAAGGAUCAUUAUCAAUUACUUGUGACUGCUUCUUUUUUGAGAAGUGGUUGUAUGUUUUUGUGCACUGUUUCUUUUUGGUUAUUUUUUCUUUCUGAGAAAAAGUAGUCAAGAUGAAUUUGAUUUUCUAUUAUUAUUUUUCUUAUUUACUUGUAACUUUUGUUAUAAAUAAUUAAAAAAAGACAACUUUCAGCAAUGGAUCUCUUGGCUCUU
rnacentral:misc_RNA from 1 species